UCAUGCUAAUUUCAGUCUUCGUCAGAUGAGCUUGACCAGCACACUGUAGUGUCAUUGCCAGACUUGUAGGACUGGUCACCUCCCUCGUCUGGUAUACAGUGUGAGUCACACAGAUGAGAGACACUCCAGGCGUUUCGACAGAGGCUUGUGGUGCAGCUGAUACGGCAGACAUAGAGUUUAUAGACAUACCAGCUCCUCGUCAGAGAAGACAGUUUUGUUUGCGUAGAGUGUGUCCUUCAGCCACAGUAAUAUACAGUGAAACAGCUGAUAUGUCGGGUAAGUAUUAACCACCACUCUAUAGAACCUGAUGCUGUCACAGUAGAUCAGUCUUCCAACCAGACAAAUGAUGCUAUGUCAGCGGAAGAGUAUUUCGGACAAGAUGACAUGCAGUUGGCCAUUAAAGAAAGUUUGUUAAGUUUUUAUAAUAGCAAUAAAGAAGAGAAAGACAGCUCACUGUUGAAGAAAUGGGUUGACAAAGCACUACAGCCCUCAGAGCCACAAACAAUAGUUGUUCAACGGGAGAGGCUGUUACAUACGACGUUAAGAGUUGUUGGUAAAUCUACUUUCAACUGGUCACAGCCGCUGCGAAUAGUAUUCUCUGGUGAAGAUGAGAUGACCAAGGAGGUCCAAAGAGAGAAUAUCUCUGAUCCUGGACAGCCCAGACGAUGAGGGAUUUAAGUCGGUUAUCGACAAACAUGCUGACUGGAUUAUUGAUCAAGGCUUACUUCCUACAAAAACAAAAUUGGAGAAGAAAGAUAAAGUAGCUACAUACCUGCUGAAAAACACUUUACUACAGAUUCCAUGCUGAAAUUACCCAAUUUGUUAAUGGACUGGAUAAAGUGGGUUUGUUGCACAAAGGGAUCCUCCAUGCACCUGAAGCAUUUUCUAGUCUGUUUGUUCACCAAGCUGUUCAUCUAAAGUUUGACACAUUCAGAUUAUUGUAUGAAGUGAACUUCAGUCCAGAGGGUUCCAAUAACCAAAGGUUGGAGAAGGA
rnacentral:lncRNA from 1 species